rnacentral:tRNA from 1 species
GCGGGUAUGGCGGAACUGGCAGACGCGCUAGACUUAGGAUCUAGUUCCUUGGAGUGCAGGUUCGACUCCUGUUACCCGCACCA